GAUGAACGCUAGCGGCAGGCCUAAUACAUGCAAGUCGAACGGCAGCGGGUGUAGCAAUACAUGCCGGCGAGUGGCGCACGGGUGCGUAACACGUAUGCAACCUUCCUUCAAAUGGAGGAUAGCCCCUCGAAAGAGGGAUUAAUACUCCGUAGUAUUACAGAUGGGCAUCUAUUUGUAAUUAAAGCUCCGGCGGUUGAAGAUGGGCAUGCGUUGCAUUAGCUAGUUGUGAGGUAACGGCUCACCAAGGCGACGAUGCAUAGGGGAUCUGAGAGGACUAACCCCCACACUGGUACUGAGACACGGACCAGACUCCGUACGGGAGGCAGCAGUAAGGAAUAUUGGAACAAUGCCCGCAAGGGUG
rnacentral:rRNA from 1 species